rnacentral:rRNA from 1 species
GACGGGGACCCGCACAAGCGGUGGAUGAUGUGGAUUAAUUCGAUGCAACGCGAAAAACCUUACCUACCCUUGACAUGUCUGGAAUCCCGAAGAGAUUUGGGAGUGCUCGCAAGAGAACCGGAACACAGGUGCUGCAUGGCUGUCGUCAGCUCGUGUCGUGAGAUGUUGGGUUAAGUCCCGCAACGAGCGCAACCCUUGUCAUUAGUUGCUACGAAAGGGCACUCUAAUGAGACUGCCGGUGACAAACCGGAGGAAGGUGGGGAUGACGUCAAGUCCUCAUGGCCCUUAUGGGUAGGGCUUCACACGUCAUACAAUGGUCGGGACAGAGGGUCGCCAACCCGCGAGGGGGAGCCAAUCCCAGAAACCCGAUCGUAGUCCGGAUUGUAGUCUGCAACUCGACUACAUGAAGUCGGAAUCGCUAGUAAUCGCGGAUCAGCAUGUCGCGGUGAAUACGUUCCCGGGUCUU